ensembl:miRNA cin-mir-4189 cin-mir-4189
ACGUGCGUGGUAGUUUAACCUUUACCUUACGUUGUAGUUUGACCUUUGCGUGUGUCGUAGUGUAAGCUCCACGUGCAU